CCAGAUUCUAAUGAACCUGGCUCUGAUACCAUAUGAUAUUUAGAGAUCCUUAGAGUAACUAGAAUAUAAGUAAGAGUUUAAGUAGAGAUUAGGAAGAGAUUAUGAAAGAUUAAGAGACUUGAGAGCUGUUUAGUGUCUAAGAGAGAAUCAUGGUGACUUAGGAAAUUAGAGAGAGACUCAGAACUGUAUGAUCUUAUUAAUGAGUGAGGUUACAUAUAUAUAUUGUUCUAGACAUUAGGGUUUUCGAAACACAAGAGUAGAUAAGCAUGUGAGGUCAAGGGAAGAGCCUUUGCUUUUGUUUGAACCGGCCAAUGACUAGCUUCACACGUUCGGGCAUCUUCCUGAUCCUGGUCCAAGAUGCUCUUCCUUUCCAGCCCUUGCCAGCCUGUCCUAGCUGUCAAGCCGCGCCUCCCUUAUCCACUCCAACGUCUGGAUAAGCUUUUGGUCGAGUGUAACUUCACCUCGGUCCAUAAGAGUUACUCGGUGAAGUUACCAUCCUAGUUUUACCUUGGUACGGUCAGUGUACGGAUGGCCCGUCCGUACCAUGCCUUAGUUUACUCUUAACUCCCUUUCCUUUCACUCCUUAGCUUUCUCAUGUCCUUAACUCCUCAAUGCCUUCACAUAUACCUCAACACAUCUCAACACUCCCCCUCAAGCUUAGCUUUAUGAUAGUCUAAGCUUGGACAGCCAUGAGAUCUUCCUCAUUAAAAACCUCACCAAAGAAAACCCAUUGGGACAAAACUUUGAUGAGGGAAAAAGAGUAAAGACCUCAUGACUUAGGGGAUCAGCUCCUUCUCUUCCCAAGAUCUAUGAGUCCCAAUCUAAUGUGAAUGGACUCCAUAGUCUUUUGUCUUGCAGCCUUAGUGAACACAUCAGCCAACUGAUCUUCACUCCGAGUGUAGCAUGGUAAGAUGACUCCUAGGAUGAUCAUCUGCCUCACCUUGUGACAAUCAACUUCAAUGUGCUUGGUUCUCUCAUGAAACACCGAGUUGGAGGCAAUGUGAAUAGCUGCUUGGUUAUCACAAUGCAUUGUCAUAGGUGCGGCUUGAUCAAUCUCCAAAUGCUUCAAGAUGCCUUUGAUCCACACCAGCUCGUUGGUAAUCUUCAGCAUAGCUCUAUACUCAGCUUCAGCACUUGAGCAAGAGACCACCUUCUGCUUCUUACUCUUCCAUGUAACUAAGUUGCCUCCAAUGAAUGUGCAAUAGCCGGUUGUUGAUCUCCUAUCAGCUCUAUCUCCUGCCCAAUCAGCAUCACAAUAGCCCACCACUUCAGUGCUUCCAUUGCACCCCAUCCAGACUCCUUGAUCUGGCGAGCCAUUCAGAUACAUCAGUAGCCUCUCCACCAUGUGCCAAUGAUGUUCCUUGGGAAGCUGCAUAUGUUGACUCACCUGAUUCACAGCAAAACAUAUGUCAGGUCUUGUGAUGGUAAGGUAAAUCAAUUUGCCAACAAGUUUUCUAUAGAGUUUAGGAUCAUGAAAUGGCUUGCUGUCUUCAAUCUCCCCCUCUCUUGGUACUUUGUAGCCAUCCUCCAUAGGCAUCCUUGCUGUCUUGCCUCCAUAAGCACCUGCAUCUUUCAAAAGAUCAAGUGUAUACUUCCUUUGGGACAUGAAUAACCCUUCCUUGGAUCUACAAAUCUCAAUUCCAAGAAAGUAUUUCAUUUCUCCCAAAUCUUUGAUUUCAAACAUGGAUUUGAGAAACUCCUUGGUUGCUUUGAUACCCUCCUUAUCACUACCUGUGAUAAUGAUAUCAUCCACAUACACAAGGAGAGCAACCAUACCUGAGGGUGUAGUGAGGGUGAAGAGUGUGUGAUCUAACUCUGACUUCCUGAAGCCACGUCCAUUCAAAGUUGUGCUCAACUUGUUAUACCACGCUCUUGGUGACUGCUUUAAGCCAUAGAUAGCCUUCUUUAACCUCAGUACAUUCCCUUUCUUCACUAGAUGGUCUAGACCUGGCGGAGGAUACAUGUAGACUUCAUCCUCAAGUUCCCCUUGUAAGAAUGCAUUCUUUACAUCCAUUUGCCACAAUCCCCAUCCAAGAUUAACCGCCAAGCUUAGAACAAUCCUAAUGGUGUGUAGCUUAGCUACAGGGGCAAAUGUCUCAAUGUAAUCCUCCCCAUAUGUCUGAGUGAACCCUCUUGCUACUAAUCUAGUUUUCUUCCUCUCAAUCUGUCCAUCAGCCUUGUAUUUGAUUGUGAAGAUCCAUCUACUAGACACUGCCUUCUUCCCUUUUGGUAGUUCACUCUCAUACCAUGUAUCAUUCUUUAUCAUAGCUCCUGCCUCAGCUCCUACUGAUUCCUUCCAUUCCUUAUCCUUCAUUGCCUCUUCAUAGCUUCUUGGGAUGUGAUUCUCAUCCAAGUUUACCAUGAAAGCACAAUGUGCUUCUGGAUAUUGAGCAAAGGAGCACACGGCUUGAGAAGGAUGCUCCACAGCUUGGGCAUUGUAGUACACUCUCGUGUUUACCCAGCUAGAAGGAUCCUUCUUUAUCCUUGUACUCCUUCUUAGUGGCUGCACAACCGGUUCUUCUUCCUGUGCUUCUUCUACCACUUCGUUUUGAGAAGGUGUUUGUAUCACACCAUGAUCAUGCCCAUGACCAUCAGAACCUAUGCUCUCUUCUCCUUCGUUCUCUACUCCUCCUUCAUCUUGGUUAGCCUCUUGUAUAGGCUCUUCAUGCUCCUCUCCUCCCUCAUGAUCAAGGUGGGAUGGUGAACCAACUUCAGGAGGUGUAGUCGUGUGAUCUCUUGGAUCCUGGGAUGUACUGAUUCUGAGACCUUCAAGGAUGAUCCGCAAGGUGGUGGCCUUGUCUGAUGUUAAGUCCUUCAGGUCUUCUUGAUUCUUUUCUUCAUAGUACCCUCUAUCUUCUAAGAACUUCACGUCUCUAGAUACAAGUACUCUUCUUGCUAUAGGAUCAUAGCACUUGUAUCCUUUCUGUGUAGCUGAGUAUCCUAUGAAUACAGCCUUGGUACUUCUUGCUUCUAGCUUGUUGCGCAUCUCUCCUGGCUUGAGCACAAAGCAUAGACAUCCAAAGACUUUCAAGUAAUCAAGAACUGGCUUGUACUUGUUUAGAACUUCAAAUGGAGCCUUCUCAUUCAGAAUCUUGGUUGGAGUUCUAUUGAUCAAGUAACAAGCAAUGGCAACCGCAUCACUCCAAAAUCUCUUUGGAACGUUACUCUGAAACAUAAGUGACCUUGCCACCUCCAUGAGGUGCCUAUUCUUCCUCUCAGCCACUCCAUUUUGCUGUGGAGUAUACGGACAACUUGUUUGAUGUAGAAUCCCAUAUUGUGAUAAGUGUUUCUUGAAUGCAUUGCUUGUGUACUCUCCUCCAUUAUCUGAUCUCAAAAUUUUAAUCUUAGCAUGAUAAUGGUUAGUCACAUAAGUUUGAAAGUUCCUAAUUGCAUCAAGCACCCUAUCUUUGGUCUGAAUUAAGGUUAACCAGGUGUAUUUGGAUUUUUCAUCAAUGAAUGUGACAAAAUACUUAUAGCUAUCUCUAGAUAAGCAAGGGGCAGUCCACACAUCUGAAUGAACUAGAUCAAAGCAAUUCUCAGAAACGGUAGUAGACUUUUGAAACACAUUCCUACAAUGCUUGCCUAAAAUGCAAGCUUCACAAUUUUUGUUUUCAAACACAACACCUGGUACCAUUAAGUUCAAAGCUUUAACAUGAGGGUGUCCUACUCUAGCAUGCCACAAUGCAUGUUUAUUCAACAAAGAAGCAGAAGUAAACGAGCAACUAUAAUCAGGAACAGAAGUGAGUUCUUCAAGCAUAUAGAGAUCUCCUUUAGUCACUCCUUUCCCAAUCAAUCUACUGCUCUCAAUAUCCUGAAAUUUCACAUCAUUAGGACUAAAGAUAACAUUGCAUUGUAAAUCAUUAGUACAUUUCUUUACAGAUAAUAGGUUUGAUGUGAAUUCAGGCAUGUAAAAAGCUUUAGAUUCUUUGUUAAACAACUUAAGCUUCCCUAUUCCCUUAAUAGGUAUCUUAUCUCCAUUUGCUAUCAUUACAUGCCCAUGAGUAGGUUCUAUAUCCUUAAUCAGUUUCUCAUCACUUAUCAUAUGAUGUGAUGCACCAGAAUCAAUAAUCAAUGGUUUAUCUACUCGUUUAGCAUUAUGACAUAGAUUACUAAGUGAUGGAGACAUCCUAUCAUUUCUAGCAAUGUGUGCAUAUAUAUACUCAUUCCUAGCUUCUAACCGUUCUACUAGUUCUCUAAUCAAGUGAUCAUCCUUAUAUGCAAUCAUAGAGGCUCCAAAGGAAUAACCAUAAGUGUUACCGUUUUCCUUUAGCAUUUUGAAGAGUGCAUCAAGGUCUGAUCUCCUGAUGUAGUCAUUGUUGCUGCAUGAGCUUGAGGCGCCUGUGUAAGCCACCAGAGACUUCCCAUUCCCAUCAUUGCCUCCAUGACCAUCCACCUCACUUGUCUUGAUGGUGCCAGCUCCACUUGAUCCUUCAGUCACAUUUGCCCUUCCCUCACGCUCCUUCAUGAACUUGGCCGGCUUGAGGUGUGGGUGUAGUAUCCAACAUUGGCUCUUCUUAUGACCAUGCUUCUUGCAAUGAUCACAGUUACCAUUGAACUUCCUGUCCUCAUACUUCCCGUGAGAUGCCUUGUUAGCUUGUGGAGCUUCGGUUAAGUCCUCAUGAGCUGCCUGAUUGGCAAGAGAGAGCUCCCCCUUUCCUCCAAACAACCCCAUAGACCCUUGCUCCCUUUGGAUUUGCGCACACACAUCCUCAAGGUCCGGAAGCUUGUCAGCCCUUAACAUGUGCUGGAUGAGUUGAGUGUAGGCCGGGUUCAACGUGAGAAGCAGCCCAAAGACCUUAUCUUGCUCACGCCUCUCAUUCAACUGAUCAGGAUCAGUUGUGCUCGGCCUCAGCAUCUCCAGUUCUGACCAUAAGGACCUGAACCUUCCCAAGUGCUUAGUGAACUCCAUAUCCUCUUGUACUAGACGGUUGAUAGCUUGCUUCACUUCAAACACACGGCUGAGGUUGGAGAUGUUCCCAUACACCUUCUUCAGCGUGUCCCACAGCUCCUUGGCUGAUUCACAGUAGCUGUAGGCAUCCAAGAUAGCUGGAUCCAAGGAUGCGUGUAAAACCGUCAUCACCAGCAUGUCUUCUUGUUGCCAUUUCUCUACAGCCACUUCAUUGGAGACCUCUUCUUGAUCUCCUCCCUGAGUAAUGAGUUUCGGAGCCUCCCCUGUUGUGAUGUGCCCCCACAAACCCUUACUUCCCACCGCAGUCUUCACCAUCCGAGACCACACAAGGUAGUUGUUACCUUUGAAAGUAACCGCUACCUUCAUCCUCAUGUUCAUACCAUGUUCCAUCUUUGCUCAGCUUGACUUGAACAGCUUGAAUCUGAUGAAAUCUUGAGUCUUGAAUCACGUACACACACACUGAACGUAGCACAGCUCAAACACCUUCAAAGCCACUCACGUGUAGCUUCAAAGCCUUCAGCUUGUAACUCUCUAAAGAUCAAACCCCAGAUUCUAAUGAACCUGGCUCUGAUACCAUAUGAUAUUUAGAGAUCCUUAGAGUAACUAGAAUAUAAGUAAGAGUUUAAGUAGAGAUUAGGAAGAGAUUGUGAAAGAUUAAGAGACUUGAGAGCUGUUUAGUGUCUAAGAGAGAAUCAUGGUGACUUAGGAAAUUAGAGAGAGACUCAGAACUGUAUAUCCUUAUUAAUGAGUGAGGUUACAUAUUUAUAUUGUUCUAGACAUUAGGGUU
rnacentral:lncRNA from 1 species